rnacentral:rRNA from 1 species
AGAAUCAACGCUGGCGGCGUGCCUAACACAUGCAAGUCGCACGGAGAAAGUGGAGCAAUCCAUGAGUAAAGUGGCGCACGGGUGAGUAACACGUGAAUGAUCUACCUCCGAGUGGGGAAUAACUGAGAGAAAUCUUAGCUAAUACCGCAUAAUACCCACGGGUCAAAGCAGCAAUGCGCUUGGAGAGGAGUUCGCGGCCGAUUAGCUAGUUGGCGGGGUAAUGGCCCACCAAGGCAAUGAUCGGUA